rnacentral:misc_RNA from 1 species
AAGUCGUAACAAGGUAACCGUAGGUGAACCUGCGGUUGGAUCAUUAAAGAAAUAAUGAGGCUGCAUUCCUUGCCGCGAUGUGAGGUCUGUAUGCCACUUACCCAACCUUUUGUGAACUGUGUUGUCUCUGGCGGCCGGGUGGAUUGGUCAAGUUCAACACUUGACUGUCUGCUUGUCAGCUAGGGUGGCCCUUGGGCCCCCCUUGCCGUGGACAAACCGCCAACUGUGUCCAAACCUAUGCCUUUGAUUCUUGUCUCUGAUGCAUCUGUUAAAAUCAAACAGAAACAACUUUUGGCAACGGAUCUCUUGGCUCUC